UCUUGAGUCAGUUUCGUUUGUCGUGUCAGUGAGUGUACGGCGCAAGAGUUUGGGUGUUGCUUUGUGAUCUAAUGGUCCAGCUUGUACUUCGAAAGUUAAGGAGAUUAAAUAUGAACAAACUUUUAAUUCUGCUGUCAUUUUUUGAGGAGUGUCGUCUCAAGAAACUACCUAGGUGAAAUAACGAGCCUUUUGAGAUUGAAAGGUCACAACAGUGGAAAUUAAUUUAUGGCCUAAGCAAAGAUGAUCUCCAGAUCAUUCGACCAUUAUUAAAGUAAUACAAUGAAGAGUUUCUGAAUGUUCAAAACUCAAGAUCUGCAGCAGAUAUGAACCACAGAGGAACAAGUUGCAAAUAUCACGAGGAGUUAUACAACUAUUGUUGCAAUUAGUAUCUAGGUCUUCAUUUAGUUGUUUGCUUAAAAUCAGAACAAGUGACACGAACACCUGAGCCAAAAUGGUAUCUCAAGUAUGGUUGAAUUUUUGUCACCUCUAAAGCAAACUUUAUUUGAACGUAGUACGUACUUCGGACAUGAUUGGCAUAUGGAUGUUUAACUUGAAUCAUUCAUCACAGAUUUGAAAUUUACUUAUGUUUAAUAUGAAUUGGUUUUGUAAUUUACUUUCCUGCAUUAAGACACAUCCAUAAAGAAAACACUGUAUGUUAACAAUCCUUAAUCAAUAAUGUUAGUGGAACAAAGUAGCAUCUAAGAGACCGAAAAUUACUUAUGAUGUACUUUGGAAGAGCUUAAGGAAUAAGAAGCAAGAAAAAGAUUUUUUCGCAUUUUGGUACUGAAGUUCCAAUAACCUUAGCUUUUAAUUAUAAAUCAAAUGUUCAGUUUCCUUAAGAUAUGUUAAUGUUUCCUGGUGAACUUUUCAUGUAAUUAUGUACACUUAAAGUUUCCUAAACAUGUGACUGACAUUUUAACAGUAUUUUAUUCAUAAACUUGGAAAAUAUUUGCUUCCAAUAUAUAAUGCCCUGUUCGUGGAAUUAUGGCAUACAUUAUGUGCGCUUACAGUUUAUUGCUACAUCACUUCAUCUUGCCCUUGUAAAAUGUCAAUUCUUAACAGUUUCCUACAAUAUAGUUUCAGACGUUUCGUUAGCAUUCUAUAGAUUUCCACCCCCUUUCAAUCCAGUUAAAUGCAAAAGUAAAAUCCUUUGAACACGUUGUAAGCAAUCCAUCAGACCAGUUUGAACUAGCGAAGUAUCUUUCUCAAUAGGUGUUGGUGAAUCUCUUCUCC